UACGUAGGGUGCGAGCGUUGUCCGGAAUUACUGGGCGUAAAGAGCUCGUAGGUGGUUUGUCGCGUUGUUCGUGAAAACCGGGGGCUUAACCCUCGGCGUGCGGGCGAUACGGGCAGACUUGAGUACUGCAGGGGAGACUGGAAUUCCUGGUGUAGCGGUGGAAUGCGCAGAUAUCAGGAGGAACACCGGUGGCGAAGGCGGGUCUCUGGGCAGUAACUGACGCUGGAGGAAGCGAAAGGCGUGGGGAG
rnacentral:rRNA from 1 species